rnacentral:rRNA from 1 species
UUGCGGGUGCGAGUCUACCAUGCAGUCGAGCGGUAGCGGGAAGAGCUUGCUCUUUGCCGACGAGCGGCGGACGGGUGCGUAACACGUAGGAAUCUGCCUGGUAGUGGGGGAUAGCCCGGAGAAAUCCGGAUUAAUACCGCAUACGUCCUACUCUUUUUCGAAAGAGGGGGGAAAGCAGGGGAUCGGUUCGCCGACCUUGCGCUAUCGGAUGAGCCUGCGCCGGAUUAGCUGGUUGGUGGGGUAAAGGCCUACCAAGGCGACGAUCCGUAGCUGGUCUGAGAGGAUGAUCAGCCACACUGGGACUGAGACACGGCCCAGACUCCUACGGGAGGCAGCAGUGGGGAAUAUUGCACAAUGGGCGAAAGCCUGAUGCAGCCAUGCCGCGUGUGUGAAGAAGGCCCUAGGGUUGUAAAGCACUUUCAGUGGGGAGGAAAGGUUGACGGUUAAUACCCUUCAGCUGUGACGUUACCCACAGAAGAAGCACCGGCUAACUCCGUGCCAGCAGCCGCGGUAAUACGGAGGGUGCGAGCGUUAAUCGGAAUUACUGGGCGUAAAGCGUGCGUAGGCGGCGAUCUAAGUUGGAUGUGAAAGCCCCGGGCUCAACCUGGGAACUGCAUCCAAAACUGGGUGGCUGGAGUACGGGAGAGGAGUGUGGAAUUUCCUGUGUAGCGGUGAAAUGCGUAGAUAUAGGAAGGAACACCAGUGGCGAAGGCGACACUCUGGCCUGAUACUGACGCUGAGGUACGAAAGCGUGGGGAGCAAACAGGAUUAGAUACCCUGGUAGUCCAGCCCGUAACGAUGUCUACUAGUUGUCGGUUGUCUUGUACGACGGGUAACGCAGCUAAC